AGAGUUUGAUUAUGGCUCAGGAUGAACGCUGGCGGCGUGCUUAACACAUGCAAGUCGAACGGGGAUGCUUAUGGAAGGAGUGCUUGCACUUUGGAAAUGAGUAUCUUAGUGGCGGACGGGUGAGUAACGCGUGGGUAACCUGCCCCAUACCGGGGGAUACCACCUGGAAACAGGUGCUAAUACCGCAUAAGCGCACGGGAGCGCAUGCUCCUGUGUGAAAAACUCCGGUGGUAUGGGAUGGACCCGCGUCUGAUUAGCCAGUUGGCAGGGUAACGGCCUACCAAAGCGACGAUCAGUAGCCGGCCUGAGAGGGUGGACGGCCACAUUGGGACUGAGACACGGCCCAAACUCCUACGGGAGGCAGCAGUGGGGAAUAUUGCACAAUGGGGGAAACCCUGAUGCAGCGACGCCGCGUGGGUGAAGAAGUAUUUCGGUAUGUAAAGCUCUAUCAGCAGGAACGAGACAAGACGGUACCUGACUAAGAAGCCCCGGCUAACUACGUGCCAGCAGCCGCGGUAAUACGUAGGGGGCAAGCGUUAUCCGGAAUCACUGGGUGUAAAGGGAGCGUAG
rnacentral:rRNA from 1 species